GAUGAACGCUGGCGGCGUGCCUAAUACAUGCAAGUCGAGCGAACGGACGAGAAGCUUGCUUUUCUGAUGUUAGCGGCGGACGGGUGAGUAACACGUGGAUAACCUACCUAUAAGACUGGGAUAACUUCGGGAAACCGGAGCUAAUACCGGAUAAUAUUUUGAACCGCAUGGUUCAAAAGUGAAAGACGGUCUUGCUGUCACUUAUAGAUGGAUCCGCGCUGCAUUAGCUAGUUGGUAAGGUAACGGCUUACCAAGGCAACGAUGCAUAGCCGACCUGAGAGGGUGAUCGGCCACACUGGAACUGAGACACGGUCCAGACUCCUACGGGAGGCAGCAGUAGGGAAUCUUCCGCAAUGGGCGAAAGCCUGACGGAGCAACGCCGCGUGAGUGAUGAAGGUCCUCGGAUCGUAAAACUCUGUUAUUAGGGAAGAACAUAUGUGUAAGUAACUGUGAACAUCUUGACGGUACCUAAUCAGAAAGCCACGGCUAACUACGUG
rnacentral:rRNA from 1 species